rnacentral:lncRNA from 1 species
GUGCAGAGCCCAGGCGCGUGGGUCGGUGUCGGGUGUGUGUGUACGUCUGUGUGUGUAAUGAAACUGGACGCCUUCCUUCCCGGCGAUCUUGACUUAACCUGUCAGCAGAGGGCUUGAGGUUAGACCACAGGUUGAACCUAGGUGGCUGCUGGAGAGGCCUUGAAAUCAUGGCAGCAGCAAGACCCAACUGGGGCAGCAUCAUGUCUGGGUUUGAAUCCCGGUUCAGCCACUUUCCAGCUGUGUGAUGUGGGGCAAGUCAGGUGGAGAAACAGAAGCCUGGAGAUGCUGAGUAACUUGCCCAUAGUCUCACAGCUGACAAGUGGCCAAGAAGGAUUCAAACACAUGUGUGCUGGCUCCAGUGGCUCCAGAAGUCUGAAACACUCUGUCUUCCUGCUUUGAGGACAGCUGAAGUCUUGCCACUUCUUCUGGAUGCUCUGACCAUCAGUAAGAGACACGGUCUGACUUUGUUACCCCGGCUGGAGUGCAGUGGUGCAAUCAUGGCUCACUGCAGCCUUAACCUCCUGGGCUCAAGUGAUCCUCUCGCCAAGGCUAGGAUAAGUAGCUAGGACUACAGAUGCGCCCCAUCACGCCCAGCUAAUUUUACAACUUCUGUAGAGAUGGAGUGUUGCUGGGUUGCCCAGGCUGGUCUUGAAUUCCUGGGCUCAAGCGAUCCUCCUGUGUCCGGAAUUGGUGGGUUCUUGGUCUCACUGACUUCAAGAAUGAAGCCGCGGACCCUCGCGGUGAGUGUUACAGUUCUUAAAGACAGCGUGUCCAGAGUUUGUUCCUUCUGAUGUUCAGAUGUGUUCAGAGUUUCUUCCUUCUGGUGGGUUCGUGGUCUCGCUGGCUUAGGGGUGAAGCUGCAGACCUUCGCGGUGAGUGUUACAGUUCUUAGGGCGGCGCGUCUGGAGUUGUCUGUUCCUCCCGGUGGGCUCGUAGUCUCGCUGGCUUCAGGAGUGAAGCUGCAGACCUUCGCGGUGAGUGUUACAGCUCAUAAAGGCAGCGUGGACCUACAGAGUGAGCAGUAGCAAGAUUUAUUGCAAAGAGCAAAAGAACAAAGCUUCCACAGCGUGGAAAGGGAUCCCAGCGGGUUGCCACUGCGGGCUGGGGCAGCCUGCUUUUAUUCUCUUAUCUGGCCCCACCCACAUC